GAUGAACGCUGGCGGCGUGCUUAACACAUGCAAGUCGAACGAUGAAGCCCAGCUUGCUGGGUGGAUUAGUGGCGAACGGGUGAGUAACACGUGAGUAACCUGCCCUUAACUCUGGGAUAAGCCUGGGAAACUGGGUCUAAUACCGGAUAGGAGCGUCCACCGCAUGGUGGGUGUUGGAGAGAUUUAUCGGUAUUGGAUGGACUCGCGGCCUAUCAGCUUGUUGGUGAGGUAAUGGCUCACCAAGGCGACGACGGGUAGCCGGCCUGAGAGGGUGACCGGCAACACUGGGACUGAGACACGGCCCAGACUCCUACGGGAGGCAGCAGUGGGGAAUAUUGCACAAUGGGCGGCAGCAUGAUGCAGCGACGCCGCGUGGGGGAUGACGGCCUUCGGGUUGUAAACCUCUUUCAGUGGGGAAGAAGCGAUAGUGACGGUACCUGCAGAAGAAGCACCGGCUAACUACGUG
rnacentral:rRNA from 1 species